rnacentral:rRNA from 1 species
UACGUAGGGUGCAAGCGUUGUCCGGAAUUAUUGGGCGUAAAGAGCUCGUAGGCGGUCUGUCACGUCGGCUGUGAAAUCCCGGGCGCACUCCGGACCUUCGGGCUCGGUCGGAUACCAGGGGCUACGGGACUUAAGCAGGGUUCCGGAAUACGGGGUAAGGAACGUUGGAAAUUUUCCGUCGGAUGGGGUAAGGCAGGUUGG